ACGGGGUGCAGCAGGCGCGAAAACUUUGCAAUGUGCGAAAGCACGACAAGGUUAAUCCGAGUGGUUUCUGCUAAAGGAACCUUUUGUUAGUCAUAGAACCACUGAUGAAUAAGGGGUGGGCAAGUUCUGGUGUCAGCCGCCGCGGUAAAACCAGCACCUCAAGUGGUCAGGAUGAUUAUUGGGCCUAAAGCAUCCGUAGCCGGCUCUGUAAGUUUUCGGUUAAAUCUGUACGCUUAACGUACAGGCUGCCGGGAAUACUGCAGAGCUAGGGAGUGGGAGAGGUAGACGGUACUCGGUAGGAAGGGGUAAAAUCCUUUGAUCUAUUGAUGACCACCUGUGGCGAAGGCGGUCUACCAGAACACGUCCGACGGUGAGGGAUGAAAGCUGGGGGAGCAAACCGGAUUAGAUACCCGGGUAGUCCCAGCUGUAAACUAUGCAAACUCAAUGAUGCAUUGGCUUGUGGCCAAUGCAGUGUUGCAGGGAAGCCGUUAAGUUUGCCGCCUGGGAAGUACGUACGCAAGUAUGAAACUUAAAGGAAUUGGCGGGGGAGCACCACAAGGGGUGAAGCCUGCG
rnacentral:rRNA from 1 species